UUGCUGCCCACAGUGUUUGAGUGUGCAUACGCUCAGCUGGUCCUGCCUUGGUACGACACCCCUGAGCCGUGCGAGGAGCAGCCGCUGCACCAGGCACUCAGCAGAGAGGUCGACUUUGUCAUCAGCCGCAUCAUUGAAAGAGCCAAAGACUUUGAUGUCUGCCAGGCUGUCGUCGGCUCCAUCCGGAUUUUGACUCAACACUUGCAUAAUGCAAAGCAGUCGGACAGAGAGCAGUUGUUCAGCUCCAGAGCAGAGGAGGUUUCUGUUCUCAGAGCGUUCUCUGAUGCUCUGGUACGUAACCUGUUUCCCAAAUCCCUGUGGGGUCAAGAAGUCAGCCGCUGUGCCUUAAGUGAGAUCAUUGCUGUAAAGGGGAUUGGGCUGCUGGUCACAUGGCUGUCGGAUCCCGACAACCUUAACCAGCUGGUGGUGAGCCAGCUUGACAUUGUCACCCCCAAAAGCUCCACCUGGGAGCUGUGUGGAUCGGACCCCGAUCAGACCUCUCUGACUUCACAGGAGGGAGCAGCAGAGGAGGAAAGCAGUGAAUUGAGCUCGCAUGGAGCCAAUUUUUCAACUGGCACGCGGAUCAAGGACAAGAGGAAAUGUAACAAAUUAAAGAAAGGUU
rnacentral:lncRNA from 1 species